rnacentral:other from 1 species
ACAGCUCUGCGAUGUGCGUUAAUCCGGAUAAUUCAACCGACAUAGUAGAUAAGGGAGUUCGGGUUCGAUAGUGGAUAACAGGCCUUUAUUAAAGGAAGUUUGAAGCUAUCGGCAGGGCACCCACCUUGUGAGAGGCGGGUGUGAAUUAGAUCGGAAACCGGCAUUGCGGAGCAAAA